UGCCGGUAUUCCAGGGAAAAUCAAAUCCUCCCGGGUAGAAACGGCAUCUGUCCAAGUGAGUUUUCUGAGUCUGCUUUGACACACUUUGGGAAGCUCCGGGACAGAAAAUAUGGUUUUGAUUUCGUGGAGCAGGCGCAGACCCCCGAAACCUGGCCCACGUGGUCCGAGAGCUGGUCUCUCAGAUUCUCCCCCAGACACGGCGCGUCGCGGAGCGCGGCCCAGAGAGAGCUGAGCGGGAGCGUGCUGACAAGGGGCCUCUCUCCAGGGCCUGGAGCUCCUGUCGGAGGGCGCUGCCCGCUCUGGUCCCGGCCUCGGAGAGAGUCAGCCCUCUGAACAUGCACAGGCACUUGUCAAGGUCACGAGAAACUUGGGUGGGGUGGGGUGGGCACCCCGGCCAGUACAGCUCCCUUCUCUCAAACCCCACAGCCUGGCAGCAGGCUGGGCCUGGGACUGCCCGUGAGAGGGGGCGCUCCCUGGGUAAGAAGGCUUCCAGGGAGGAACAGGGAUGGAGGUGAGGCCCUCAUGAGCACCUGGGCUCGUUUCUUGUCUGGCCCGAGGUCAGAGGUGUGGGUCAUGCCCACCCGCGGUUGGGGGUCCCAAGCCCACCGGCAGGGAGAGUCUGGCCGUGGUGAGAGGUCACCUGCCGGUGGGAGGCUCCUGCUGACCGUCCCAGGCUGGGCUCUCGGAAGCUUGGGGCAGCACACGUGGGGAGGCCCACCAGCCUCCCAGCUCUGGGGGUGUGGGGAAAAGGCCCUCCUGGAGGUCCCUGGACGUCUACUCAGCUCCCUGGACCCCACGUUGGCAGACGACAACUUGAGAGGCCUCACCAGUCUCUGAAGCCUUGUGACCCAGGAGACCCCGGCUCCCCAGCGGCAGAACAGGAGGGACCCCUGCCCAGGCCCGGGAUCGGGGAGAUACCACGUGCUCAGCUUGGGGAGUGAGGCCCCCCCCAUCCCUCUGUUUGCUUGAAGCCCCUCGGCUGCUCACAGCUGCUGAUGGGCAGCUCCAUGCGCCUGGCAAGAGGCGCUGGGGUCAGCAGGAACAAGAACGAACCCGCUGCUGCUCUCGUGAGACUUGGCGAUGUGCAGGUGGGGCGACCGGGCCCCAUGUGGUCCCACCUGUUGUGGUGAUCGCCGACAGAGACCUGAGCUGCAGAGGAAAUAACCCGAUGGGUUCGUCGUUUGGGGCAGUCGAGGAAGGCUUCUCGAAGGAGGUGGCAAGUGAGCUGAGGAUGAGAGGUGCUGGCCGGGGAGUGGCAGAGAAGCUGUGGACCCCCGGGCCCAAGGGGCAGGGUCUCCAGGCAAUGGCUGGGUGCGUGGCGGGCCCACGGGGCACACGUGUCCUUCAUUUCACGGGCAUCUUCCGGGGGCCGCCCCGCCUCAGAGCGGGCCACCAGCACUCAUCACUCUAGCUUGCCUGCCUUUGGCUGCAAGGGACAGCGUUUUAAUCCCUCUCCUCCGGCUCUUCUGGGUCCAAGCCUCUCCUCACUCAAGCGGACCCCCUGGCCGCCCGCCCUGCACCUCCUUCCCUGUUGGCGCCCUUACCCUCGAGGGCCCCAGACAGGCAGCACACGAGUGCCUGUUUCUCAGGUGGGUAAACUGAGUCUGUGCCUUCCCUGAUGCACCCAGCCGGGGGCAGCCAGCAGGGACCACGGAAGCUGCUUCUAGCUGGGGCCCUUCCAUCCCUCUGACCCGGCGUCCAGGAGCGGCAGGAUGCAUCUUGCAAACCCGAGCUUCAGAAACUCGAAAUCAAGGAGGAUCUGGCUGGGGACUCUUGGGGGCUCCGUGGGCUGUUUUGUAACGACAGAGGGAGCGCCUCGCCCACACUCCGGAUCUGCCGCGCCCGCUGCCGCCCACGGACCCUGCGGAAUUAGCUCACAAAUGGGAGGAACAGGUGACGGGCGCCUGCUCUGGGGACGUCAGCCCUCCCAACUCACACCCGAGGCACCGAGCUGGCUGCGUCCCCGCUUUGCAAGAAAAUGACUUCCCUGCCAGAUGGGAGCAGGACGCCCACCUCCCCGCAGCUCCGGCGACAGAGCCCGCAGGAUCCCACACGGCAUGCAUUCCUGAAGCGGGGACGACAAGUGCUCCCAGUGCCCCAAUAAUUAACAAAAGGCCAUCGUCGCUGCCGUGCACCUGCUUCAGGACGUUUUCUUCCCAUGUGCUGAAUAGAGAGGAACAUUCCAGAAUGUGGAACUUGGGGCACCUGGACCUCGAGUCUGUGGACAGACAUUCUAGGGACGUAGCUUUCCACGUGGCAGAUGCACAUAACUCUGGACCGAUUCGGGGAGAAAUCUCCCAGAAGUGUUUUUCUCACUGCCCUGCCUUAAAAAACAAAAUCAAAACCCAAACAAAACUUUACGACUUCCCAUAAACGGAGUCUCGAAACGUCCUGUGUCUACGGGAGGCUCCACGUUGCCUCCACUCUCCUCACUGCUGAGUCGGAUCCCGAUGCGUGAAAGGUCAUGGUUCGUCGAUUUCACUUGAAGGGCAGUCUACAAGGAACAUUCCAGUUCUGCCCAUUUUGGAUGAGCGUAUACACGCCCGGGAGGAACCUGCAGCUUAUAGGCCACCUGAGUGCCAGCCCGUUUGGAAACUGCCCUGAAGGGCGAGGCCCAUGUCCUCUGCAGAGCUCCACACUCUCCCUCCCCCCUCUCAGCUUUGGCGACCCUAGCAGGUACCGCACCUUGUGCGGGAGAGUUUGACAAACACCUCAGCUGCUUCUUGGUACCUGAAGGUCACGUUCGUCAGCGUUAGCCACUGCCGCCUGACGGGGACGUCAUAACCCCGAGCUUCCUGCCACGCGGCUGCUCUGCCCGCCUCUGUCUGUGUGGUUCUAGUUCUUUGAGAGGAGCGGCACUGGACCCCAUCUGAAGCACGCACACCGUGGCGGCACCUUCGUGCGCUCACGGGUUUGCUCAUCCAGCAAACACUCACCGAGAGCCUGGCUGUGUCCAGGAUGGCCCAGGUCAUGGAUGCAAGUUAGGUCCAGCCACGGCCCUGACUUGGGGGGCACGCUGCCCAUGUGGGGCUGGGGUUGCCCUCCACUCGCUCCCCACCCACAGCACAGACAGGCGCGAACCGUGUGGAACGUUCCACACCCGUUUACCAGGUGACUACCAUUCCGGCUCUCUGUGACUGCCGGGGCCAGAACUGGAAAUGCCCGGGCAAAUUUUGUGUCAGUUGGGCACACUGCUCGCCAAGCCCUGGGACCCAGAGCUGUGAGGGGCUGCACCUGGGUCCAAGCCCACCAUCUCUGCCUGCCUGGCGCAUGGCUCAGACCUGCCCUCGCGGCCCCUCGGUGCUGCCGCUCGCUCAGGACCAGAGAGAAAGGAACUGGCCCCAGGGGUCCAGAUGGAUCCUGGGGGCUGAAUGAAGAGCGAAGGAUGAUGCUGUUUGCCAGGACCGACACUGGAUGAGGGCCGAGGUCACAGGUCGCUGCUCAAGGACAAGCCUCUAUGGGAACAUCUCACGAGAUGCAGCUUCCACAGGAAGCCUCCCUGGCAGCCCGCAGAGCAGGCUGGGUCCCUGUAUGGAUUCCCAGUCUCUGCACUUGUCCUAUGUGACCCUUUAUUGCUCUCCGGAUGGACCACGGAGGCCGGAGAGGCCAGUAACCUGCCCAAAGCUGAGCAUCCCGGGAAGCCCAAGCUCCAGGCAUCAGGCAGCGUGCGUCAGGGUUCCCACUGCCCGCUUCGCCUCUGGGGACUCGGGCCGGCCCGGCCCGCCCCGUGGGCCACAAUGGCAGCGCCCACAACGCCCGCACAGGGGCCGGCUGGUCGCGCAUACAAAGCACCCGGCCCGGCCAUUAUCAUUCCGGAGCCGAAGUCCACCCCAGCCCGCACCUCAUCGGUCAUUCAGCAGCCCUUAAUGACUUGUCAGUUCCUUGCCCUGCCAUUUUCUGUCUAAUUAAUUCUUUUAUUGUGCACCGGAUAAAGAAAGACAAAGGCC